GAUGAACGCUAGCGGCAGGCUUAAUACAUGCAAGUCGAGGGGCAGCAUGACUGUAGCAAUACAGUUGAUGGCGACCGGCAAACGGGUGCGGAACACGUACGCAACCUACCCAAAACUGAGGAAUAGCCCGGGGAAACCCGGAUUAAUACUUCGUAACAUAAUUGAAUGGCAUCAUUUGAUUAUUAUAGCUCCGGCGGUUUUGGAUGGGCGUGCGCCUGAUUAGAUAGUUGGCGGGGUAACGGCCCACCAAGUCUGCGAUCAGUAACUGGUGUGAGAGGACGAUCAGCCACACUGGGACUGAGACACGGGCCCAGACUCCUACGGGAGGCAGCAGUGGGGAAUCUUGCGCAAUGGGCGAAAGCCUGACGCAGCGACGCCGCGUGCGGGAAGAAGGCCUGGUUGUAACG
rnacentral:rRNA from 1 species